AACUUACUAGUAUAAAAAGUACAAUUAAUUUCCAAUUAAUAAGAAAAUAUAAGUUA
rnacentral:tRNA from 1 species